ensembl:lincRNA
CACACAGCGAAAUUGGGGGCAGUCAUUUCUGACCGGGCAGCACGUGCAGCAUCUGCAGGGGAAGCAGCUCCAGGCCAGGGCAGAGCCCAGGGCAGAGGGAGGGACCCGCACCCGGUGAGCACCCGAGCACCCACGGCCCCAACUCCAGAGGCCACCACACCCUGCCCUUGUGGUCCCGUGUGGCUUCCUCAGCCCAGGUUCCUCUUUUCAUUUAAAGCCAGCAAGAACUGGUUACUUGCAAAAGACCUAAAUAAUGUAUAGACUAUUUUUGUCAUUUCAUGUUCUUGAUUCAUCUUUCCUCUUUUUUUUUAAAUCUUAUCGGUACAUUUUACAUACACAUAAUGAUUGCAUCCGUCAUAGGGAUUUGUACCUGUACAUGAUCUAUCUUGCUUUUUCUUUUUUCCGCAUUCCCCUCCCUUCCCUUCAAUCCCUCUUCCCCUCCGUAUUUAUAAGUUUUGUUUCCAUUUUUUCUUUCUAUUCUCUUUUUUCCUUGUCCCUUCCUUCCUUCCCCCCUCCUCCUCCCCUUGUUCCCCUUCCCAUUUGAACAUUUUCUUCCCAUUUCCCAAUAUCUAAUACACAUUUUGGUCCCUAUUUGUACUUUCAGUUUCUCACACCAAAGAAACAAGGUGGCAUUUAUGCACAAACUUUUUAGUAGAAUCUCUCUUGCCUCAGAAAAUCUGGCCUGCCAGGCAUGGUGGCACAUGCCUAUAAUCCCAGUGCUCAGGAGGCCGAGGCAGGAGGAUCAUUGUGAGUUCAAGGCCAGCCCGGCCUAUAAAAUGAACUCCAGGUCAGCCUGAACUGCACAGCGAGACCCUGUCUCAAAAAGACAAAAAAAAAGAAUGGAAGGAAGGAAGGAAGGAAGGAAGGAAGGAAGGAAGGAAGGAAAGAAGGAAGGAAAGAGAGACAGAGGGACAGAAAGAGAGAGAGGGGAAGAAAGAAAGAAAGAAAGAAAGAAAGAAAGAAAGAAAGAAAGAAAGAAAGAAAGAAAGAAAGAAAGAAAGAAGAGAAGAGGAGGAAAAAGAAAAUCUGACCUAAGCACAAAGACCCUGGAAACAAACACAACCUGCUCUGGACUACAGCAUAUAAUACCUAGAAACCUGGGACCUGUGGGCUGCCUUUUCUCCAUGUCAUCUGCUCAGAGCUGACCAGAGGAGGGCAGGCCAGCACCAUCUCCCUCUUGGCACCUUCCCCGGCCUGAGCACCCUCCUGGCAUGAAGCUGGCUGAACCGAAACCCACUGUGGUCUCCAGUUCCUGAGCUGCUCGUUCUUGUUCCCACGCUGUCUCAGGCCCAGGUGAGGGCCGGCUGUGCCGGAAGUCCUCGCUUGCCAAUGAGACCAAGUCUUCCCUGGAGAAGCCUCUCCUGCCCUUCCUGCCAAGGCUUUGCCAUCUACUCUGGGCAUCUGGGUACACUGAGCACCAGGCCUGCACUGCUGGGGAGUGGGGAAGGCUUCCUGUCCUGCUUUGCCACUGAGCUCCCAGCACCCUGGCCUUCUAGGAGAGACACACCAGCACCCUCCUGCCUGCCCUUCUUUGUCUCGUAGGGGCAGCUUUCAGGAGACCUGUGCCCUCAGCAGGCUGCAGGCCUAAGCCGAGUCAGCAGCCCAGGACGCAGAGGAGCAGCCUGAGGAGGAGCAACAGAGCGUAGGGUACUGAGAAUGGG